rnacentral:rRNA from 1 species
AACGAACGUUAGCGGCGCGCCUAACACAUGCAAGUCGAGCGAGAAAGGGCUUCGGCCCCGGUACAGCGGCGCACGGGUGGGUAACACGUAGGUAAUCUACCCCCAGGUGGUGGAUAACCUUCCGAAAGGAGGGCUAAUACAGCAUGAGACCACGACUCCGAAAGGGGAUGAGGUCAAAGCCGGCCUCUUCAUGAAAGCUGGCGCCAGGGGAUGAGCCUGCGGCCCAUCAGCUAGUUGGUAGGGUAACGGCCUACCAAGGCGAAGACGGGUAGCUGGUCUGAGAGGAUGAUCAGCCACACUGGAACUGAGACACGGUCCAGACUCCUACGGGAGGCAGCAGUGGGGAAUCUUGCGCAAUGGGCGAAAGCCUGACGCAGCGACGCCGCGUGAGUGAUGAAGGCCCUCGGGUUGUAAAGCUCUGUGGAGGGGGACGAAUAAGGGUUGGCUAAUAUCCAGCUCGAUGACGGUACCCCUUUAGCAAGCACCGGCUAACUCUGUGCCAGCAGCCGCAGUAACAC